UGCCUUUCUCUCAUUGUGCCAAGAACUCAAC
rnacentral:piRNA from 1 species